GACGUAGGGGGCCAGCGUUGUUCGGAAUUACUGGGUGUAAAGGGUUCGUAGGCGGUGUGGCAAGUUGGGAGUGAAUCUCUGGGCUCAACCCAGAGGCUGCUUCCAAAACUGCUGUGCUUGAGUGUGAGAGAGGCUCGUGGAAUGCAGGUGUAGCGGUGAAAUGCGUAGAUAUCUGCAGGAACACCCGUGGCGAAGCGGCGAGCUGGAUCACUACUGACGCUGGAGGAACGAAAGCUAGGGAGCAAACAG
rnacentral:rRNA from 1 species